rnacentral:ncRNA from 2 species
AUAUUAUAGUUAGCGCCAGAAGUAGUGGGUAAAGUGCUACUUGACGAGGAUGGGGAGUAUCGAAAUUUCGGCGGAUGCCCCACGGUAUAACACUAUCGAUAAACAUUGGCAAAGCAAAGAAGUGAUUCUUUGUACAAAUUCAAUGGAGUGUGAAUC